UUACUGAAAAAUCUAAGGUUUCCUUAAGUACUACACCAGAUACCUAUACGGAUUACGAACAAAUCCCCGGGAUGACGCUCUAAUGUGACGAUAGCAAGGAGGAUCGUGAGGCCGCUGAAAAAUCUAAGGUUAGUGUUGAAAUUUUUGAUUUAUAUAUCAUCCAUUUGAUUGAUUAAAUAUAAACGUAAUAAAUUUAUCCAAAAAGGCCCAUUUCGCAGUGACGGGAUUUUUUAUAACUAUUGGUCCUAAUUUUCCAAUUCUUUUGAAUUUUUUGUCUUCGAAGUCUUCGUUGUGAAGAUACAAGGUGUUGAAGUUUAAAUAGUCUAAAUAUAUUUUAAAUAAACAAAUACGUAUAUUCAAACGGGUAGAUUUGUCUUAUAAGCCUCGCGCAAUAUUGCACAUUACUGGUACCGUCAACGUCAAAUCAAAAUCUCUAAAUCAUAACGUCUACGUUCGAGAUAACGCAAUCGCUGAUUUGUUGGAUAAAUCUCAGGUUACACUCAAAGUUACACCAAUCACCAGCCGCUAAAACCUAAUUACUAUUCCAGACGAAGUUACUGGUCACGGGGUUUAUAAUCAUUCAUGAUCGAAGGUCUUGUUUGUAAUUUCACAAUACAUAUAGAGGUUGUCCCGAUAAAACAUGCAGGGUGUUCGUAUUUAAUUUUGUUAAUAAAACUGUACCGCCCCAAACGUUACCUUGGAAAUACAUAUGUUUCAUUGGUAGUUUCCUUGGGUUUUAGACCAAUUAACCUUAGUACGAUUUAGCUUUUUUAAAAAGUUGUCGGCUGUAACAUUUUUGAUUUAAUUUUAAUUUUUAAUAAGUUAAAUAUAUUUCAAUGAUUAUUUUCGGAGAGUCGAUUGUAAAUAUUAAGUUAUUUCGCGUUUGAAAUAGGUAAAUUUAUUGAAAAUGUCUUGCAUUGCAAUCGUUGUUUUUUAUUUUACUGUCGUAGUUUUUGGAAGAACACAAUUAAAUUUUACUUUUAUUUUGAUAAAUUUAUUACAAAAUGAAAUAUUUUUUAUUAUUCAUGGUCUGAAAAAUUAGCAGGUAUACAUUGAAAUACACGGACGGAAGUAGAUCUGUCUAAAUCUUGAAAACAAAAAAAAAUUCGUUGCAAAGUAAAAAAGGUAAAAGUAAAGGUGUUAGGGGAUUUUUGUCGAAAUCAUAAAAAUGGAUUUAUCGGUUUUUAUAUGAAGUAGUCGUCAGCUCUUCAUGUAUCCAGUGCGACGUUGUGUUUUCUAUCUCUUUUGGUCCCGAAGUAGUGGCGUCACCAUCAGUGUCGUCGUCCUAGAAAUUGAUACCUAAAAAAAGAACAAAAAUUAGAAAACGGUGAUUAGUAAAUAAAUCUCUAA